rnacentral:rRNA from 1 species
UACGGAGGGUGCAAGCGUUGUCCGGAUUUAUUGGGUUUAAAGGGUGCGUAGGCGGUUCUUUAAGUCAGUGGUGAAAUACUGCAGCUCAACUGUAGCAUUGCCAUUGAUACUGAAGAACUUGAGUACAGAUGAGGUAGGCGGAAUUUAUGGUGUAGCGGUGAAAUGCAUAGAUACCAUAAAGAACACCGAUUGCGAAGGCAGCUUACUAAGCUGUAACUGACGCUGAGGCACGAAAGCGUGGGGAGCGAACGAGG